UUGGGAUAUUGAGCCAAAUUUACUGCUCUGUUCUUGAGCAGAAAGAAUUCAUAAUCAAAAUAAAAUUUUAAAAAACCCUCAGAGUUCAAAAUAAAUAAUUUUAAAAGCUUGGAAAGGAGACUGUUUUCAUGAUCUUUAAAUCUUUUCUUUUUGUUUUGUUUGUUUGCCUUUUAUUUUUAAAACACAUUUAACAGUUGGCUUACAUUUGGCCUGCUGACCAAAAUAAAGCAAGCUGGACCCUUGUUGUUUUGGUUCACUUAUUCCUCAGAGGUUCCUGACAGCACCAAUUGAAUAAAAGAGGAUCACAAUGACUUGCACUGUUGGAUUGUGACAAAUAAGCAACCUCUUCAGAAAACAGAUAAGCCACCUAUCUGCUAACCUGUUUGAACAGGUAAAGAAACACAAAACACACUGAGCUUUCCUAAUGUUAAAUUAAGUAGAUGGGCUUAUUUCAUUGGCAUUAGUGGAAUCACUCUUAGGGCCAAUGGCAAAAACAUCUCAUAUUAUUAAAAGCUUCAUGGCAGACAAGAAAAAAUAAAAAUCUGUUAUUAAAUCCCUCUAUAAAGUAUCCUUAACAACACCAUUGAUUAAAUAUGUUAUCAAAAUAUGGCCUAGAGCAAAUACUAGAAGGUAGUAAUAGGAUCACCUUCGCUUUAUUCUUUCAGAUUAAUUUAAAUGUACCAAUAAUUUGAUCUCUGAAUACAAGGGCAAUCAGGAAAUUAAAUGUUACCACAUCACAGCAACAGGGUUUAAACAAAUGAGCUCCUUCCAGAUAUACAUUCUGAGAGGGAUCAAGAUACAACUCUACUUUUUUUACAGGAAAUGGAAAGAAAAAACUGAGGUCUCUGACUGGAGCCCUUUGCCAACUGACAGAUGAGAAGCCCUACAUUUGACAGAGGUGCCUCAGUUUGCAGAAAGGACCUAAGGCUACCAUUUGAAUUUUUGUGACUUGAUCUUUCCUGAGGCGUUCCCUAAGAAACCAACUUCAUUACCAUUGUUGCCCCUGGGGGUGGUUUAUCAGGGGUUAGUAACUUUGUUUUGAUUCUGGCAUUAAAAUGAGUAUUUCCCUCAAUUUCUCUGUAGUUUCUUAGUUUCCACAGUAAUGUGAUCUGCACAGUGGUACUGAGAAGGCGAGAGACUUGAAGAGACACAGUUAUAAUUUAUGACCUCAGUUUUAGGCUAUGGAUAUAAGGAAUAUGUUGUGAAAUUAAAAUAGUGUGAAUGGAACUAAGCCUUUUCCACAAGUUUAUAGGGGCCCAGAGAUGGGAGCUGGAGUGAGAAAGGCCAAAAUAUGCUCAAGACAGUUUUCUGUUUGGUGUGUCAGAAUCUACUAUCAAUAUUGUUUAAGUUUGGGGAGCCUGGGUGGCUUAGUCGGUUAGACAUCUGAGUCUUGAUUUUGGCUCAAGU
rnacentral:lncRNA from 12 species